rnacentral:lncRNA from 1 species
UUAUAGUUGUGCAUUGUAUGCUUCAAACAUGCGACUGAUGCUGAGUUUAAUAUAAAUAUGUAUACAUGUACGUAUAUAUAAAACAACAACAACAAACCCAGUGUAUUCCCACAUAGUGGGGUCUGGGGAGGGUAAGAUGUACGCAGUCAAUACCUCUACCUCUAAAGAAGUAGAAAGGCCGUUUCCGAUAGACCCCCGGCUCGAGACACGGAAUACUACACAAAUACAUAGUAAUGUACGUAUAUAUAAAAACAUACACAUAUUCAAUUGAAUGAAGUGGGAUCAGAUGGAGCGAAACGGAUGUAGAGGAUUCAUAUAACCAACCAUAACUGGCUUGGGACUAAGGCAUAGUAGACGUAGUGGUAGUAGUAGUUGUUACACAUAUUCAAUUGAAUGAAGUGGGACCAAAUGGAGUGAAAUGGAUGUAGAGGAUUCAUAUAACCAACCAUAACUAGCUUGGGACUAAGGUAAGUAGUGGUUGUUGUUGUUUUAGUUGUGUAUGGUAUGCUUGAAUCAUGCAAUUGAAUGUUGCUGAAUUUGAGUAGUUUGCUUUCUUGGGGAUAACCUGUUGGUGAGCCUAUGCCCCGUUGCACCUAUAUGGGUUCAAAUUUUGGUUGAAAUAUUUGGGAAAACCAACUUAUUGGUUGUAAAUUUCUGGCUGAUAUCCUUUUAACGAUUUAAUAAUAAUAAUUUUUGGUGAUAUCCUAAGCUCCCAUCCCCUGUGUUUCUUUUAUCUUCUAUUUAUAUUCUUAUUCUUUGGACUAGGAUGCUCGGUUUGCUAAUUAAGAUCACCUUUAACUGCAGUUAGAAUAUCCCCUUAAGCCAAAAAAAGAAGAAGAGGAUAUCCCCUUUUUUUUUUUUUUGAGAAAGAAGAGGAUAUCCCCUUAAGCAGCUAAGUUCCAUGUAAUUGAACUGAUAGCUUGUUGUUAAUGAUGAUAUUCCUCUUUCUGCAACCAUGCGCAACUCAUAUGUACAUCUAUUUCACCUUCUUUCUUUCACGCUUCAAAAAUGUAGACACAAGAGAAGAUGGCGAGGACACAUAUUUCUUUCAAAGAGAAUGAGGGAAUAUAAAACUGACUUCAUGUGGAAAAAAAUUGGACUUAUCUAUCAUUCCUUCUUCAAUUUAAAUUUAAGCUUCUCUGUUUAGAAUUUUGGUGGGUGGGUGGGGUGGGGUACAACAACAACAUACCUUGUGUGAACCCACAAGUGGGGUCUGGGGAGGGUAGGAUGUACUCAAAGCUUACCCCUACCUUUGUGAGGUAGAGAGGCUGUUUCUGAUAGACCAUUGGCUCAAAAGAAAUGUUUCCGAAGCAGAAUUGCAAGAAUAAAACACCGUGUGAUCAUAAGUACAAAAAAAGAGGCCUUUUGGUACAAACCAAAUAAUAUGUUGCAGUUCUUCCCCCUUUUUUUCUUGGUUCAAUAUCUUGGGACAUUUAAUGCACCGGGCUGCCCUUUUUUAAUAUCUUGGGACAUUGUAUAGACUUGGAGCUUCAAUCUGCAAGGCUUGUUCUCCAUUCUCUUUGCUUCUACCAAAUAGUUAGCCUCUUGAUCUCAAGUAAUCUAAACCAUGCGUGACAGCGAGGUAAAGUUUAUUGUAGCUUUCAACAACUAGUUUGACCAAAGGUGAAAAAGACAUUUUAUUCGUACAGAGAUUAAUACAACUUGGUCUUAAGUACACAGGUCAAAUUUCAAUAAAUAAUGCACUCUCUGAGCUAGUGCUCUUCGGAGAAGAACUGAGUACACCACACAUAGACCGUCUUCAGAUGAAUUCCCAUAUAAAUAGUCUUUCUAUUGGAUACAAGACGGAACUUAGAGGACAUCAAUUACAGGAAAAUGACCAAAACAACAACAAUGAGGUAAAGUUUCUACACAAGAUGCGCUUCCCGGACCAACACCUGGUCACCAUAAACGUUUUAAUAAGGGCUCCUUGUUUUUGAGCUGUUCACCCUUUGCCCAUUUCUUUAUUACCAAAUAUUGCUGGAAGGAUAGCAUUGACUAUGAGUAGGUAGUGCAAAUUCCUGCUUCAACAUUUUCCCGUAGACUUUGGGUAGCAUCUGAACUUUUCAUGAUUCACAGCCUCAUACAGGUACCAGUGAACAUCUCCCAAGGGACAUUGCCAACAAGCAUCCAGUACCCAUCCUUA